UGAGGAAUAUUGGUCAAUGGGCGCAAGCCGGAACCAGCCAUCCCGCGUGAAGGAAGAAGGCCCUACGGGUUGUAAACUUCUUUUCUGUUUGAAGAAUAAGCUUGUCGAGACAAGUGAUGCCGGUAGGACAGGAAUAAGCAUCGGCUAACUCCGUGCCAGCAGCCGCGGUAAUACGGAGGAUGCAAGCGUUAUCCGGAUUUAUUGGGUUUAAAGGGUGCGCAGGUGGUUGAAUAAGUCAGUGGUGAAAGUCUGGCGCUUAACGUUAGGAGUGCCAUUGAUACUGUUUGACUUGAAUAUAGAUGAGGUAGGCAGAAUGUGUAGUGUAGCAGUGAAAUGCUUAGAUAUUACACAGAACACCGAUUGCGAAGGCAGCUUACUAAUCCAUUAUUGACGCUGAGGCACGAAAGCGUGGGG
rnacentral:rRNA from 1 species